UCAGUUUUACUUUAAUUACACACGUAUUCUAUUUUUUUUUUCAAAUAUUUCUUUUGGCAACCCCUGUAUCUAAAUGGGGUUAAUUUUUCAUUAAAUUUUUAAAGUAAAUUGCAUAUAUAUCCUAUCUAUUUUUAGCAAAACCCAAAAUUACCCCAGAUUUUAACAGAACUUAUUCUCCCAAUUAACCCAAAAUUUCGUUCAAUAUUCUCAAACAUUCAAUCCCUCUUUGUGGCGGCGACCUCGUCGGACGGCGACAAGGACCAAAUAGUCUGGUAUGGCGAAAACCCUGUUGGGGAUGCGAUCUACAUUAAACAAGUUAGACCCUCUUUGUGGCGGUGACUUCAACCAACGGCGACGAGGAUCUGGCAGAUGGUGAACAACGACGAUUCAAAACCUUCAGAGCCUUUCGACUGCGAACACCGGCAUCGCUUGAGCAGUUCCCUUGUCUUUGCAAUCUUUAGAAGCUAAUUAUCUCCGACAGCAGAAUCCUCGGUGGCUUCAAAUUUUUCGUCCAUGGUGGUGAUGCGCCUCUUGCCGGCGUUGUCUUGUGAAGAUGAAGCGGAACACAACAUUCUCCAUAGAUGCUGUCGGUAAAAAUUAAAUAUACACUGCCAUUAUAAUUUGCUUAGCCACUAAGAGAAUUUUUGCUUCCCUGUUAAGUAUUCACCGCCAAGCUAGAAGGGUAUAGAAACUUCCAAAUCUGAAAUAUGAUGACAACAAAUUGCAGCACCUCCUUUACUCCACUAUCUUAAUUUCUUUUGUUAACCAUUAAACGUUUUCUCACUUUAUUGUAUUUACUUCCCUAUACAAUUGUAACGCAUUUGAAAUGAAUUCAAUAGAUGAAUUUGUGUGAACGAAAGUAAGAAAUUGAAGUAUAAAUUCUUCCUUCUCUCUCGUUUUAUUUUUCGGCUGCGUGAGUGAAUGAGUUUUUUUUUUUUUUUUGUAAGGUGAGUGUUUGGGAGUUGAGUUACUUGUAAUUGUGGGAAUGAUGACAGAGGAGGGAGAAUUAAGAACUAUGUGAGGUUCACAGAGAGAGAAGAUUGAUUAUUAGAUUACUGCAAAAAAAAAUAAAAAAAAAAUUGCGUAGUUGAAUUUGGUUUGAAUUUGUUUUUGCUGCAAUUUAUUUUUCUACAAACCCAGCUCCCCCUUUGAAUGGGUGUGCACGAAGAAGAGAAGGGUAUUCGAGAUUAAAAAAAUCAUUAAAUGACAUGUGCUAGGCACAUGAUCUGUUGAAGUUAACAGACGGUAUUAAGGGAUUAAGGGUACUAGUGUAAUGAAUAUUAAAAAAUUAGAAGAUUUUCAGUCGACUAAAAAGAAAAGGAGAAGAUAUAUGUAUAAAUGAAAUAAAACAGAGAAAAUAUUAUUGUAAUUUAUUCUAAUCUUUAAAUAUAAUAAGUCAUCCAUAUACAAAAAGGAGUAAAUAUAAAUCAUACAAGCAUGCAUGUGAUGAAGAUUUAAUGUUAUGAAAGAAGUAAAUAUAUUAGUUGUGUUGUGACAAUAAAAUCUUUGAGGCCGGAGUAUAUACGUACGUGUCUAGGAGCGACGUAUUGAUCGAUCGUAGG
rnacentral:lncRNA from 1 species